UACGUAGGGUGCGAGCGUUGUCCGGAAUUAUUGGGCGUAAAGGGCUCGUAGGCGGUUUGUCGCGUCGGGAGUGAAAACACACAGCUUAACUGUGUGCUUGCUUCCGAUACGGGCAGACUAGAGGUAUGCAGGGGAGAAUGGAAUUCCUGGUGUAGCGGUGAAAUGCGCAGAUAUCAGGAGGAACACCGGUGGCGAAGGCGGUUCUCUGGGCAUUACCUGACGCUGAGGAGCGAAAGCAUGGGGAGCAAACAGG
rnacentral:rRNA from 1 species